rnacentral:rRNA from 1 species
UGGGGAAUAUUGCACAAUGGGCGCAAGCCUGAUGCAGCCAUGCCGCGUGUAUGAAGAAGGCCUUCGGGUUGUAAAGUACUUUCAGCGAGGAGGAAGGCGUUGUGGUUAAUAACCGCAACGAUUGACGUUACUCGCAGAAGAAGCACCGGCUAACUCCGUGCCAGCAGCCGCGGUAAUACGGAGGGUGCAAGCGGUAAUCGGAAUUACUGGGCGUAAAGCGCACGCAGGCGGUCUGUCAAGUCGGAUGUGAAAUCCCCGGGCUCAACCUGGGAACUGCAUCCGAAACUGGCAGGCUAGAGUCUUGUAGAGGGGGGUAGAAUUCCAGGUGUAGCGGUGAAAUGCGUAGAGAUCUGGAGGAAUACCGGUGGCGAAGGCGGCCCCCUGGACAAAGACUAACGCUCAGGUGCGAAAGCGUGGGGAGCAAACA